GAGAGACGUUUCAUUCGACCGUAAUCUUUAAAUGUUGAUCUUUUUGGGGAAUUCGUUUCGCUCCCACACAGACAUACAUACGCACACACACACAAAUCGGUUAAAUGCCCAAAACACGACACGUCCGUUUCAAUGUCGUCGAAACGAAUACCUUUAUAAUAUACGAGUAUAUAAUGUGCAGCUCCUUCGGGCUGUCAUACCUGCACACCAUAUGGGCACGGAAAUUGUUAUUCGGUUGUC